GUUAGCGAAAACCAAAUACUUUGGCUUCGGAGCUUCUAGACAAUUGACAGUUAUAAAUUAUUGGGGACUUAGAAAUUUUACACCCGUAUUUUGAAUUUCUCUAAUAGAUGUCCCCAAGAGGCCAAGAGGUACCGAACUAUAAGUAACAUAUCCUAUACAUACAUAUAGGUACAUAUUAUUAUAAGGUACCUACAUGACAAAGUUUUUUAUUUAAAAUAUUGCUAAUAUGUACUAUAAUAUAAUUAGGUUAAUAAGUAUAUUUUGAAUUUCAUUUACAUUUAUAUAGAUAAUCUACAAAGCGAA